GAUGAACGCUGGCGGCGUGCCUAAUACAUGCAAGUCGAGCGAACAGACGAGGAGCUUGCUCCUCUGACAUUAGCGGCGGACGGGUGAGUAACACGUGGAUAACCUACCUAUAAGACUGGGAUAACUUCGGGAAACCGGAGCUAAUACCGGAUAAUAUAUUGAACCGCAUGGUUCAAUAGUGAAAGACGGUUUUGCUGUCACUUAUAGAUGGAUCCGCGCCGCAUUAGCUAGUUGGUAAGGUAACGGCUUACCAAGGCAACGAUGCGUAGCCGACCUGAGAGGGUGAUCGGCCACACUGGAACUGAGACACGGUCCAGACUCCUACGGGAGGCAGCAGUAGGGAAUCUUCCGCAAUGGGCGAAAGCCUGGCGGAGCAACGCCGCGUGAGUGAUGAAGGUCUUCGGAUCGUAAAACUCUGUUAUUAGGGAAGAACAAAUGUGUAAGUAACUAUGCACGUCUUGACGGUACCUAAUCAGAAAGCCACGGCUAACUACGUG
rnacentral:rRNA from 1 species